UCCAUUUACACUGUGGGCUCAGUCAGUUUCAGGUGAAUGCUCUCCAACAGUCACCUGGGGAUAAGCCUAUCAUGCCAGAGAAACAUAGGCUAGGAGAGUUUCCUAACAACACGGAGCACGAACUGGCCUGCCUCUGGAAUUUGGAUAGAGUAUUGUAGGUGCAUAUCCCUGGCAUCAAGCUACCGCUCCAAAGAAAGCAAUGUUUUCCUCUUCCCUCUUGGAGGACAGUGCUCUGAUGUACUGCAGAAGAAGAAAGGAACUAACAUAAGAAACAUUAACUUAUGUUUCAGGAAAUUUAACAAGCAUGAAGAGUGCCCCCUCCUCUGACAGUGUUUCAAUAUACCUCAGGGUCAUGAAAAAGAAGUGGGGAAGUCAUGCCUGAUUCUAUUUUUCCCUCAUGCCACAGAUCCAAUUUGUCAAGAAAUCCCAAAGGCUCAACUUUCUAAAUAUCCAGAAUCCAACUACUCUUCACUGUCUUUAUAGUUACCAGUCUGGUUUAAUCAAUUAGUAUACUGACUUUGAUUAAUUAAUUAAUUUAGUUGUUUAUCUAACAAUUAUUAUUUAAUUUUUUUAUCUUCUGGUAUUAAGCUAUUGGUUGAUGUUUAGUAUGGAUAAUAAUGAGGGGCAGCUUCUUUACUCUUUUUGUUUCUUGCAACUGAUAUCACAAAGCUUAUUAUGAUUGAAUAUAAAAUAUCAAUCAAUGAACUCUGAAGGGAAACAUAGGAGGGUCUCACAUGUAUAAAAAUGAUUUUAUAUUCAGAUGCAUUUGUGAAUUUCUUUUGGAUUCUUGGCAGAAAUUUUUGCUUUCUGUUGUUUGUUUAUGUUCAGCUGAUCAGUGUUCUCAGAUUAGUUGUAUUGAUCAAAGGAAACUGAUCCUUAAAUUUUGGUCUUUUCUCAAAUUAUUCAUGGUUCAGCAACUUGGAAAACAUUUUCACUGCAGUUCUCAUCUUUUUCACUUUAUGAAUUGUCCCUCAGUAAAACACCAUUCCAUGUCCUAAGCAUGUUUUAUACUCUCAACUUUUCCUUUAGUUUCUUGAGUUUGCUUUUUUAGGCGAUUUCAGGUAUUUGAAAGGUAUCUAAGUUUAUAUUAAGUGGCA